UCGAGCGGAUGACGGGCAGCUUGCUCCUUGAUUCAGCGGCGGACGGGUGAGUAAUGCCUAGGAAUCUGCCUGGUAGUGGGGGACAACGUUCCGAAAGGAGCGCUAAUACCGCAUACGUCCUACGGGAGAAAGUGGGGGAUCUUCGGACCUCACGCUAUCAGAUGAGCCUAGGUCGGAUUAGCUAGUUGGUGAGGUAAAGGCUCACCAAGGCGACGAUCCGUAACUGGUCUGAGAGGAUGAUCAGUCACACUGGAACUGAGACACGGUCCAGACUCCUACGGGAGGCAGCAGUGGGGAAUAUUGGACAAUGGGCGAAAGCCUGAUCCAGCCAUGCCGCGUGUGUGAAGAAGGUCUUCGGAUUGUAAAGCACUUUAAGUUGGGAGGAAGGGCAGUAAGUUAAUACCUUGCUGUUUUGACGUUACCGACAGAAUAAGCACCGGCUAACUCUGUGCCAGCAGCCGCGGUAAUACAGAGGGUGCAAGCGUUAAUCGGAAUUACUGGGCGUAAAGCGCGCGUAGGUGGUUCGUUAAGUUGGAUGUGAAAGCCCCGGGCUCAACCUGGGAACUGCAUCCAAAACUGGCGAGCUAGAGUAUGGUAG
rnacentral:rRNA from 1 species